rnacentral:rRNA from 1 species
CCAGACUCCUACGGGAGGCAGCAGUGGGGAAUAUUGGACAAUGGGGGGAACCCUGAUCCAGCGACGCCGCGUGAGUGAAGAAGUAUUUCGGUAUGUAAAGCUCUAUCAGCAGGGAAGAAAGAAAUGACGGUACCUGACUAAGAAGCCCCGGCUAACUACGUGCCAGCAGCCGCGGUAAUACGUAGGGGGCAAGCGUUAUCCGGAUUUACUGGGUGUAAAGGGAGCGUAGACGGCGAUGCAAGUCUGAAGUGAAAGGCGGGGGCCCAACCCCCGGACUGCUUUGGAAACUGUAUAGCUGGAGUGCAGGAGAGGUAAGUGGAAUUCCUAGUGUAGCGGUGAAAUGCGUAGAUAUUAGGAGGAACACCAGUGGCGAAGGCGGAUGACUGGACGGCAACUGACGGUGAGGCGCGAAAGCGUGGGGAGCAAACAGGAUUAGAUACCCCUGUA